UUGAUCCUGGCUCAGAGCGAACGCUGGCGGCGUGCCUAACACAUGCAAGUCGAGCGAGAAAGUUAGUUUACUGAACGAGUAAAGCGGCGAACGGGUGAGUAACGCGUGGAUAUCUACCUUGAAGUUUGGGAUAACAUCGGGAAACCGUUGCUAAUACCAAAUGUGGAAGCAAUUCUAAAGGGGGCCUCUUUUUAAUGCUCUCGCUUCUUGAUGAGUCCGCGUCCUAUCAGCUUGUUGGUAAGGUAAUGGCUUACCAAGGCUAAGACGGGUAGCCGGCCUGAGAGGGUGUACGGCCACAUGGGGACUGAGAUACGGCCCUGACUCCUACGGGAGGCAGCAGUGAGGAAUAUUGCACAAUGGGGGAAACCCUGAUGCAGCGACGCCGCGUGGGGGAUGAAGUCUUUCGAGACGUAAACUCCUUUUAUAUGGGAAGAAACGGUAGAUGGUUAAUACCCUUCUACUCUGACGGUACCAUUUGAAUAAGCCCCGGCUAACUACGUGCCAGCAGCCGCGGUAACACGUAGGGGGCAAGCGUUGCUCGGAUUCACUGGGUCUAAAGGGCUCGCAUGCGGAUAUUUAAGUCUUGGGUUAAAUCUAUAGGCUCAACUUGUAGUUGCCUGAGAAACUGGAUGUCUUGAGGAAGAGAGAGGAAACGGGAAUUCCCGGUGUAACGGUGGAAUGUGUAGAUAUCGGGAGGAACACCAACGGCGUAGGCAAGUUUCUGGCUCUUACCUGACGCUCAGGAGCGAAAGCGUGGGAAGCAAACAGGAUUAGAUACCCUGGUAGUCCACGCCCUAAACGAUGGGUGC
rnacentral:rRNA from 1 species